rnacentral:rRNA from 1 species
UACGUAGGUGGCGAGCGUUAUCCGGAAUUACUGGGUGUAAAGGGUGUGUAGGCGGGAAGGCAAGUCAGAUGUGAAAAUUAUGGGCUCAACCCAUAACCUGCAUUUGAAACUGCUUUUCUUGAGAGUCGGAGAGGUAAAUGGAAUUCCCAGUGUAGCGGUGAAAUGCGUAGAUAUUGGGAGGAACACCAGUGGCGAAGGCGAUUUACUGGACGACAACUGACGCUGAUACACGAAAGCGUGGGGAGCAAACAGG